CCAAAAUUCUUUUUUAGGGCCACAACAUUAUUGACUUCUACAUCCAAAAAACGAUCAUCAAAGAAUGUAUGCGAAGGUUAUGUGGCUAUGAAACUACCUCUGUUCUUAAGCCCUAUGUUUUUUUAUCACUUAUCAUCACAAAUCGCAUUCUUCCAUGCAUAUGUUUUAUGUCAUGAUCACGUUACUUCAGAAUAAAAAUGUGGUUAUUCCACUCAGUAAGUACAUCGGAACUUUGUCAUACACUAAGGACCCGCUUGGAUGGCCUUUUUUGGCCAAAAGCAGCUGCCACUUGAACCCAGAGCUAGCUGGUUCUCGCCGAAAUGCGUUGAGGCACAGCAGUUGACUGGACAUCUAGGGGUAAAGCACUGUUUCGGUGCGGGCUGCACGAGCGGUACCAAAUCGAGGCAAACUCUGAAUACUGGAUAUGACCCAAAAAUACCAGGGGUUAAGGUCGGCCAGUGAGACGAUGGAGGAUAAGCUUCAUCGUCGAAAAUAUGGCUCCAAAUGGAUUUCCCCUCCAGCUGGAAAAACGCACUUCCAAAACGUUCAUUUUUUCGUUUACACUCAUAAAGAAAUAAUCGUCUGCAAGGCUCCGUAUUUUAUCCGGUGGGAUUUUGCUGGUGGCUACUAAGAACCGUAUAUUAGUACGCGUGGAAAGCAAAAUCGGCCAUCCAAGCAGGCCUGACACUCAACGAUGGUCAUACGACUAACCUGUGGUGACGAACAUACGAUGAGCAACUUGUCCUUGUUGAGUUUACACAACUAUUUACAGCCGCGGGUAGCAUGGUUGAUUAACCUCCGCCUAACCAAAACCAGCCAGGGCAGGGGAUGACACAAACGUUAGAGCAUGCACAUAGGUGUGACUGUGCAUUAAAAUUAGUUUAAUAAUAUUCCUUUAUACCACUAUCGCAUAUAUCUUGCCUCUUUUGCAUUUCUUGUUUAAAUUAUUGGUCUCAAUACAUGAAAAUAAUGUACCACUAGAUCCUUCAUCUGGUGCGCUGAUAACACACAUGAAAAAGUGUGUGAAGCAUUCGAGAUUGAUGCUUGCAUAAGCACAUAUCUUGAGAAUCCUUAACAAUCCAAGUUAUAAGCGUAAAGAAGAUUGAACAUUUUACGCACUACUUACGUAAGAAAAGUAUUGGCUGAGUCAUCAACAAAUCCUGAACUUUAUAUCGAUGAAAUCUAAAUACCCAAGCCUCUAUUUCUGGGAGCUUUUUCGCUCCAAGAUUCAUCCACUUGGAUGAAAUAGACUGUUGGGUAAAUUCCUAUGGGGCACGUGUAUUAUUUUGGUACCUGGUUGUGUACAAAUGAGUUGUGGAUUCAGGUUUUCGUUUGAAAUUUUUUGAACGUGCGUGCAGCUUGGUUUGGUUCGUUUAGUAUUUUCUCUGGUGCCGUUCUUCGCAUUUGUGAUUGGUCGCUGUCUCUGGCCCUUCUUCGCUGUUGUGAUAGGUCGCUGUUGGUCUCUGGUGCUGUUGGCCGAAGUCGCUUUCUUGUUUCCUAUUCGUCAUCAGGUUCUGUAUUGGUUCCUGUCGCUCUCGUUGCCUGUGUGCCACUGUUGGUUCGGUCGUUGUGUUCUUCUGAUAGGGCGGUACCUCUUCGGUGCAUUGGUUCUGGUGUCUCGAUUCUCUCCCCAUGCCCGGUCUUCUCUAGAAAGCCCGGGCAAAAUCUGAGCACAACGCCACCGCCCUAUAAGCCUAUAUAAGAAGAGGCUCUCCUCCUUCCCAGCGGACAACGCAGUGUACGCCGGCCACGGCAAGUAUAUACACACCUUGAGCGGCUCGGUGCCAUGGCUCCACUAACCUCGAAGCUCUGCUGGAGAUCGUCUUGCCAUCGCCAGCCGGAGGACGCCUCCUGCGCCGGUACCGUCCCGAGAUUCGCCCCAGGCACCGCCGCCGGCGCCUCGCGGUCGCUGUCCAUGAACCGCACGGUACGGUGCUCCUGCCCGCGCGUCAACUGGUCUUGCUCAGGCAGUACCACGAAUACCACGACGCUGAUGAGCACACGUACCGUGCGCUUGCCGGCGAAGAUGAUGUUGAGGAAUCCCGCGAGCCGCCCGCCGGGGAGGCCAGCUUACGGAAGUCCCUGAGCUUGGCACGGAUGGAGGCUUCCGCUAGCUUCUUGGCCUUCUUCUAAGGCACGGGCACGGGCGGCCCUCCGUGAACACCUGCACGGUGGUGCGGAUGGGGCGGAGGCGGCUGUGGUUGAACGGCAACCCACAAUAGCUGGAGCACUCGGACGAGCUGUACGUAGUGGCGUGCGGCCCUGAUCCGUGUAUGCCGGCGCACGCGUCCGGUAGCUCCUGGCGAGAGACGGCCUGUAGAUGUAGCUGUACUGUAGUGCAGGGCCUCCUACUGCUGCGGUGGCGGCCCACAGCACGCCUAGGAGAUGCUCCUCGCCAGCGGCCAGAUCGCCGAUGGAGCAGUGUCCUGAUCUCUUCGGUGAUUCCCCGAGGCGGUGGCGGUGACCACUACAGCGGACGGGCUUCAUGCGCUGUCGGGCCGGCAACUCUGUAUUUGUGAUCGGUGGUGCUCAGCACGUGCGGGGGCGGACUGCUCCGGCCAGUCGGGACUGCUGUUUCGCCGGUGCAUGUCGCUGCACCUUGUGCCCUGCGUUACACCUUUGCAGUUGUCGCCAGCAGCACGGCUCUUUUCACUGCAGGUAGUUUCAGUUUCUGGUUUCCUCACAAUUUUGGCGAACGGAGAGGUCUGGCUGCUUGGCUUUGUUGAUCACUUCUUCUUACGCCAGGUAUUCAGUGUGCUAGCUUUAAAAAAAGAUCUUCAGCGUGCUGAUGCUGCAUGAAUUGUGGAAGUGUAGCGGUUAUCUUCUAAGCUCUGUGUAAUUUGUUGGUUUAUUCAUUUUUCUUUUUCCAGGUAUAUAAUAAUUUUUGAUAUCGAACUUCAAUCUCUCAGGCUUGGGACUCAUUUAUAUUCAAUGUUGAAUGCCCGUCGACUGUGAUGAUUUUUACAGAUGGUUCCAUCUAGCUUUACAUAGAGGUCUGAGGUGUACGAUUAGGAGGUGUGAUCAUCCAGGUUCUGUGAGAAUGGUAAUGGGGUAUUCAGCUACCCGUUGGCAACAAACCCACAUACGUACCUUGAGCACAUCUUGCACAAGCUCAGCACAAACGCCAUGACCUGCCUACGGUCUCCUUUCCACAAGUGCAAUGUGUUAGCUUUAGUGCUACCAAAGAGACUACAUGACUUCAUGCAGCUGGAGUGUAUUGCUGCUCAUCAUGCACAAGCCAAGCUACAUAUGUUAUUGUUUCCUCGAGACCCUUUGUUGUUUCAUGUAAAUGAAACAACUCUUAUUAAUGUUUGUAAGUCAGAUAAUAAAGAACUUACAAAAAAAGUUUAGUUGUUGUUUUGUAAAAUAAUAGCACUGUAUACUGUUUACUGCGUAGAGUGAGCUGUAUAUGGUUUCAAUAAAUAGUUUUCCUUAGAGAUAUGUCAAUGUUAACCGUUCUGUUUGUAUCCAUGCAUUUGCAUGGCCAUAAUAAAUUUAGUUAUUUGU